rnacentral:rRNA from 1 species
AUACGUAGGGGGCGAGCGUUGUCCGGAUUUACUGGGCGUAAAGGGUGAGUAGGCGGUUGUAUAUGUCAGAUGUAAAAGGCUAUGGCUUAACUAUGUAAGCAUUUGAAACUGCAUAACUUGAGUGCAGGAGAGGUAAGUGGAAUUCCUAGUGUAGCGGUGAAAUGCGUAGACAUUAGGAGGAACACCAGUGGCGAAGGCGACUUACUGGACUGUAACUGACGCUGAGUCACGAAAGCGUGGGUAGC